rnacentral:rRNA from 1 species
UACGUAGGGGGCAAGCGUUGUCCGGAAUCAUUGGGCGUAAAGCGCGUGUAGGCGGUCCGGUAAGUCCGCUGUGAAAGUCGGGGGCUCAACCCUCGGAUGCCGGUGGAUACUGUCGGGCUUGAGUACGGAAGAGGCGAGCGGAAUUCCUGGUGUAGCGGUGAAAUGCGCAGAUAUCGGGAGGAACACCAGUGGCGAAGGCGGGCACCUGGGCUAACACUGACGCUGAGGCGCGAAAGCUAGGGGAGCAAACAGG